rnacentral:rRNA from 1 species
UGGGGAAUUUUCCGCAAUGGGCGAAAGCCUGACGGAGCAAUGUUGCGUGGAGGUGGAAGGCCUACGGGUCGUCAACUUCUUUUCUCGGAGAAGAAACAAUGACGGUAUCUGAGGAAUAAGCAUCGGCUAACUCUGUGCCC